UACGUAGGUGGCAAGCGUUGUCCGGAUUUACUGGGCGUAAAGAGCGCGCAGGCGGCUGGGCAAGUCCGAUGUGAAAGCUUCCGGCUUAACUGGAAAAUUGCAUCGGAAACUGCUCGGCUUGAAGGUGGGAGAGGGUAGCGGAAUUCCCGGUGUAGUGGUGAAAUGCGUAGAGAUCGGGAGGAACACCAGCGGCGAAGGCGGCGACCUGGACAGGUACUGACACUCAACUACGAAAGCGUGGGGAGCAAACAGG
rnacentral:rRNA from 1 species